rnacentral:rRNA from 1 species
ACUCCUACGGGAGGCAGCAGUGAGGAAUAUUGGACAAUGGGCGGAAGCCUGAUCCAGCCAUGCCGCGUGCAGGAAGACUGCCCUAUGGGUUGUAAACUGCUUUUAUACGGGAAGAAACCGCCCUACGUGUAGGGCUCUGACGGUACCGUAAGAAUAAGGAUCGGCUAACUCCGUGCCAGCAGCCGCGGUAAUACGGAGGAUCCAAGCGUUAUCCGGAAUCAUUGGGUUUAAAGGGUCCGUAGGUGGACGAUUAAGUCAGAGGUGAAAGUCUGCGGCUCAACCGUAGAAAUGCCUUUGAUACUGGCGGUCUUGAGUUAUGGCGAAGUGGGCGGAAUAUGUAGUGUAGCGGUGAAAUGCAUAGAUAUUACAUAGAACACCGAUUGCGAAGGCAGCCA